GACGAACGCUGGCGGCGUGCUUAACACAUGCAAGUCGAACGGAAAGGCCCUGCUUUUGUGGGGUGCUCGAGUGGCGAACGGGUGAGUAACACGUGUGUAACCUGCCCUUGACUUUGGGAUAACUUCAGGAAACUGGGGCUAAUACAGGAUAGGAGAUCCUGCUGCAUGGUGGGGGUUGGAAAGUUUCGGCGGUUGGGGAUGGAUUCGCGGCUUAUCAGCUUGUUGGUGGGGUAGUGACUUACCAGGGCUUUGACGGGUAGCCGGCCUGAGAGGUUGGCCGGCGACCUGAGGCCUGAGAUACGGCGCAGACGCCUACGUGAGGCAGCAGUGGGGAGUAUGGCACAGUGGGGGGACGCCAGAUACGGCAACGCCGCGUGCGGGAUGAUGGGCUUCUGGUUGUAAACCGCUUUGUCCUGUGACGAAGCGUGAGUGACGGUAAUGGGUCAAGAAGCACCGGCUAACUACGUG
rnacentral:rRNA from 1 species